rnacentral:rRNA from 1 species
AUUGAACGCUGGCGGCAGGCCUAACACAUGCAAGUCGAGCGGAUGAAGGGAGCUUGCUCCUGGAUUCAGCGGCGGACGGGUGAGUAAUGCCUAGGAAUCUGCCUGGUAGUGGGGGAUAACGUCCGGAAACGGGCGCUAAUACCGCAUACUUCCUGAGGGAGAAAGUGGGGGGUCUUCGGACCUCACGCUAUCAGAUGAGCCUAGGUCGGAUUAGCUAGUUUGUGGGGUAAAGGCCUACCAAGGCGACGAUCCGUAACUGGUCUGAGAGGAUGAUCAGUCACACUGGAACUGAGACACGGUCCAGACUCCUACGGGAGGCAGCAGUGGGGAAUAUUGGACAACGGGCGAAAGCCUGAUCCAGCCAUGCCGCGUGUGUGAAGAAGGUCUUCGGAUUGUAAAGCACGUUAAGUUGGGAGGAAGGGCAGUAAGUUAAUACCUUGCUGUUUUGACGUUACCAACAGAAUAAGCACCGGCUAACUUCGUG